CGUUACAGAUUUGGUAUCAGAGCUGUGUUAUAUUCUUAGGACACAGGAAACCUAGGAAUAUAACGAGAGAGUGAGACAAUAAUACAAGAGAUAAGAUAUACGUAUAUGAUAGUUAUACAUCUACGAGAGCAGGCUAGGGUAUACAUGAAACCCAGAAAUCUUUAGUGGGACAUCAAACCCCAUAGUUAUGAUUACACAUAUGUGUAUACAAGUAUCUUUAAGAUAAGAAACUUAAGGUGGCAUUGCUUAAUUAUCCGUAAAGAUGUUAAUAUCCAGUUUUCUUCGAGGACACCCUUUUACACCCUAUCCUUAUGAAUAAUAUUGGUAGUGUCGCAUCAGAAGAAAUUAUGAUUACUGAUGGUAAUUCAGGGAACACGAAUCAUUGAGCCUUCACCAUUUGAGAUUAUUGGUUACCUAACCUAUUAGUUACCUAGUAUUUAUUGCUAUGCCAGAUGGAUAGGCAUCAAUUCUACCUCAUAAAUUUUUGUCAGAAAUAACCUCUACAAUAUCAUUGACUACCCAGAUAUUUACCUCCAUAUCUUGUUCUUUUAUUACCUAUAUCAUAGGGUAGAUAUGAUCAAGUGAUUGUUGGAUAUACUUAGACACUAUCAGCUGACUUUUCCAAAGGCUACAUCAUUCUCUUUUGAUUCCACUAAGAUGUUGACUCCUGAUCGGUACCAAUUCGAGUUCCAUACCUUUAUCAACUCCACCUCUAUUGUCGAGAUUCUUUUCUCAUAUUUUGCAAUUUUCCGCCCAUACAUAUAUAUUCAUAUACCAAGCCAUGAGCUCGAAUGUUACAA
rnacentral:lncRNA from 1 species